GGCACCCUUUAUUAAAUGUCUACUAUAUUCAAGGCACCCUGCUGGAGCUGUGAAAAUGAACAAGACAGAGAUCUUUCCUUGACCCAAUAAUAGAAGGGAGUGGGGACAAGACGUAUACAAAUUAUUAUGAAACAAAACAAUUCUUCUAAGUACAAAGGAGAAGUUGUGGGAAGUAGAUCCUGAGAAAUAAGGAAGAAGGACUGAUAGCUUUCAACUGAAAGAAUCAGAAAGGUCUUCAUUGGGGCCUGAGAUGAAGAAAGGUGGCUGGAAAAGAGAAAGUCCAUUCUAGGCAAGAGGGAGAUAUGUACAAAAGAUCUAUGCAGAAGAAGACAUAUCAAAAAAGGGGACAAGUGAGCAUUUAGUUUAAGUUUAGUUCAGUUUAACUUCAUGGUGUCCUGUGAAAUACAAAGCAAAAAGAAAGUUUAAUUAAGCCACUUAGACCAAAGCUCUAACAAAGAAAGUUUCUGUGAAAAUUGGAAUUGAAAUUGAAAGCACUGAUUUGAAGUCAGAAGAUUUGGUUCCAGUUCUGGCUCCAACACUUGAAAGCUGAAUGAACUCAGAUCUUCAGAAGUUGUGGCUGUACCCUGAGAAGCAUUUGCCAAGCUGAAUCUCUACAGGGAUUGUUUUCCUAGGAUAAGGACUAAGCACACUGAAUUGGAAGACAUGUUGACCUAGGGCUCUUGGAUUCAGUCACAGUCUCCAUCACAGGCAGAGGAGGGCUGGUGAUCAAGAUUUGAUUUUUUGCCUCCUGUUUCCCUUUCAGGGUACCUUCCUGCUUCAGCAAGGCUGGUUUUCUUGCUCUCUGCUGUCCAAGGAGCAAAAUCAUCGUCAUCUUAAAGUACGCAGGGUUUUUUAGGAGGAAGGAAAGAAAAAAUAAAACUCAUCAAAUUUUCCUGAUUGAAUAAUAAAGGUAUUCUUUUAGCAGUUUAAAUCUUUCAAAGUACAUAUUUUUAGAAUUAUUAUUCAAACAAUUUCAUCAUGUUGCAAUUGUGCCAAUUCAUAGCAACUUUUUCAUGAUUCUAAUACUUAUAUAAUUCUGCAAUGCCAAUUAUACUAAUAUUCAAGAGCCCAAGGAAAAACCAAUGCAUUUAAGUAACCUUUUGAAGAUCCAAUGGGACAAUUUAUAAAGGUCUGUGUCAAAAAGGUUCAUCAUAUUGAAAGUUAACAAUCAACCAUCAAAGAACAUUUAUUUCAACUUCCUAACUUCAACAAUAGAUUCUUA